UUUAGUGUCUCCAAGGUCCCCACCAGCUCACUGAGGUAACAGGGUUGGUGGCAGUCAGCCCGCUCUGUGACCAGGAGGAUGGGAGGGGUGGCUGAGGCACAGCUUCAUUUUCUUAUCUGUGCUACACCUGCACUUGCCCUGAAGGUACUGCAAGAGGCUCGUUUUUGUGUUGAUACAGCUGACAACAAAUUAACUCUUCUCCCAACAAGCUUUCAGGUCCAGGAGUCGUGGCUCAGGGCUCAGCAUUACUGGUGAAAGCAGCAUGUGUUAGCUACAGCAGCAGGACACACAGCGGCUUUCCCCAUUGCCACUUCCACCAUCGGUGAUCUAAGCCACUGCUCAGAUGCCCAGGUUCUACGAGAUGCGGUUGUAACACAUCUGAGAAAACCACAUACGCGCCCUCCAAGCUUCUCCCCCCAAAUUCCUGUGAUACAUUUAAUCUUCCAGAUGACUUCCCCAAACAUCCACCUGCUCUGCAGCUCAGGCCUCGUCUCCUCUGUCGGUCCAGGUUGGAAGAAGUAUCUGAUUUUUCCUUCAGAAGGAGAGGAAUGUACAUCGGGCAGCUCCUCUUCAUAAAGAAUUACUGCAGAGCCAAUGGACACAGAAAACUUGCCCCUACAGACCUGCCUCAUCCCAGCCCUCUUCUUCCAGGAACAGUACUCCAAAGCGACCCUGCCAUGGCUGCUGGAAACUGCUCUGGUCUGCUUCCAACAGGGGGCAAAGCCAUCAUCUGCGCUUCUUUUUGCAAGUUGCUUUGUUGCUUUCCCAUUCUGACUCAACUCCGCAUUUGAUCCUCCCAGAAUCAAGCAUUUUCUAAUUCAUCUCUGCACGUACCUCUCGAGAAACCACAGCAGAUAUCUGAACUUCACACUUCCCUCAGCUCUACUUCCCUUCCCCAUGAGAGCUGCCAGAAUUUUUCCCCAGGAAAACAACUGCCUUACGGCUCGUCCUCUGUUCUGUCCCAGUGGGGCUGGCACCUGUAUCCUCCUGCGGCUGGCACACCAUCAGGGCACACCUGCUGAAUGCUGCGCUUGCUCAUUGACAGCAGUUUCUGGUAUGGGAAGGGUUUCACUGGAAAAUACCUUCAUGUUCAACACUAUGACAGUUAUUACUUAUUUACAACUUUUAAAGAAAAAGUUGUCUACUAUAUUUAUAAUCCAAAUGCUAUGGAUUUAAGAAAUGGCAAGUAUUUGCUCAGUAUUGAGAAGUUGAGAAGUUCUUGCCAUUUCUCUCACGUUUUACAUUAAUCAGAAUCAACGUUACUCAAGUUCAGCUGAAAAGCUUAUCGGCGGGAUCUUGAUGAGUUCUAGAUGCUCUUAGUGAGCCACGUGCCAGCCAAACUGAGUAGUGCAUGCUGGACCUCUUCUGAAGUCAACCCUCUGGCUCGUACCGACACUGCUGCGCUCCCUGUAAUUCAAGCCCCUCCUGUCUCAGUUUCUCCUACGGCAUCUCAGCACCGAUGUGGGUUUCCGUUCUCACACCUUCACUCUUACAGAUUUCCAAAUCUCACAUAUUUUUGCCACUUGCAGUAUUUCUUUCUCGUUUCUCCAAAGGACAUCACCAUUUCCUUUCACAAGACUACGAUAUCAGGCUACUUGUUUUAGUGGAGGAAUUCAACCUGUGAUUUUCAACUGGUAGGUAUUACCUGAUGUUAAAAAAAAACAAAAACAAAAAACUGUGAGCUUCCAGGUGAUAAAGACCUGCCAGAGCUGAGUGGCAAUUGGGGAUGUUGCCAUUCCAAGGGUCAGACUGCAACACAGAAUGACUUCCCUGCGUAAGAGAGCGAGCAGAAGAACGAAGUUAACUCUGGGAAUUAAAAAUCCCCCUGGGAGACAGGCGCUACGAGACUGGUCUGUGGCCGCACUGCGCUGAUGUGGUUAAACAGAACAGGCGGCCAAAUCUCUCUGCGAUUGUUGUGGUUAGUUCCUCCCUUCCCCCAAGCAGAUGCAGUGCCUGACUCCUCUGAGGUAGUGGAUGAAGUACUGGCGCAGCCUCAUCAUUCAGCACAGUCAAGGGAGAACAAGAGCCCAGUGUCAGAGCACUUGCCAACCUGUUGUGGGCGAAGUCACAAGACGAGCUCUCUAUUGAAUUCCAGCAGAAGCAGAAGAAAGAUGCCCAAGGGAUCCUGAAGCUACAGCUGGACAGUGAUGAAAGGCCGAUUCAGCUGAUGAGAAGUCUCGGCUGCACACAGAGCCCCCAAAAGGAGGUCAGAAUUUGAAAACCAGAAUUUUCAUUCAUCCCCCUCACACACACGCUCCCCAGAUCACCUGCUUUUCCUAACUUACUCUCAGCUUAUAGGGAAUAAAAUCUACUUUCUCCACAACAGUCCUCAGGAGUUACCACAAGUUUAUAGUGCCACCUACUGACACUUAGCACCCGAGCUCUUCUGUCAAUCCAGAGCAACUCAGGUUUUCCAUGAAGUAAUUUCCUCUCUAUUUCCUUGUAUUUAUCAACUGUUCUGACGGCUGAAUGCAAGUCUUCUAAAUAUUUGAUUAUUUUAACCAG